rnacentral:lncRNA from 1 species
UUUUAUUAUUGUAUUAUACUAUAAAUAUAAUAUAUAUUACAUUAUAUCAUAAUACAUUAAUAUGUUAUGUUAAAUAAUUUAAUAUUAUGUUAUAUUACCAAAUAUUAAUUUACUCUAAUAAUUAUAUUACUAUUAUGCUUAUUAACAUAAUAUUAUUUUAUAUUACAAUAAUAUUAUACUAUAUCGUAUAUUUAUGUAUUAAUUUAUGUUAUAUUUUAUUAUGUUCUAUUGUAUAAUACUAUGCAAUGUUCUUUAUGGUAAUUUUGUCAUACAAAAGUACUUUCUCAGUUUGUUUACCAAACACAAAAUAAAGUACCACAGCACUUUACGAAUGUAGUUACCAAACAGCAAAUAGCUUUUUAUAACAGCUCUACUUCAGACAGCUCUACUUCCAACAGCUCUACUUCUAACAGCUCUACUGCCAACAGCUCUCCCAAACAGGGUCCUUAGUGUAAUUAGCCUACAUAAGGCAUG